UAUUCUGAGGGUGAGUGUAGAGUCAGAGCCACACAGAGCCUGAACACUUUCUCCAUCUUCUGUUCCUUCCCUUGCAGUAUUCUGGAUUAACAGAAGAACAUAGUCACCCGACCUCCAGAUGAUUUUCCACCUGUGUCUGGCAAGACUGGGGAAAACCCUGGGGCUACACUCGGGUGUCUGAUGACUGAGGGUUUCACAGAAGAGGCCUCUCCUGACUCAGCUUGGAGGGACUCAUCUGUUAGGAACAGCAUGAGCCUAGGAAACCUUCAUCACGAACCUUGUGUUAGAUCAUGAGCCCCAGCAUUUGGGAACAACUGAAACAUAUCUCUAAAUCUUACAGAUUAUAAUACUGUUUAAAUUCUAGGCCUUAAAAAUACAGUAAACAUUAAAGCUUCUGGGAUUCCUAAAAUCUCCUUGCCCGGACCUUUCCCGUCCCAUAAGGGAAGAAAAUGAGCGAGGGAAGCUCAUUCUCAGCACUUCACUGUAUUCCAUGAUUGCAACUGAGCCCUGUGAAUCUCCUCUUUCCCCACCUCCACACUUCCUUUCACAGCCCCCUCAGUCCUCCCUUUCCUUGACAAACCCAAGUAAACCCCACAGUUCAACCAACUGUAGAUCAAAAAUAUUUGAGAAAAAAAUUGUAUCUGUACUGGA